rnacentral:rRNA from 1 species
GGGCGCGUAGGCGGGUUUCUAAGUCCGUGGUGAAAUACUUCAGCUCAACUGGAGAACUGCAUCUGAAACUGGGAAUCUCGAGUAAUGUAGGGGCACGUGGAACGGCUGGUGGAGCGGUGAAAUGCGUUGAUAUCAGUCGGAACUCCGGUGGCGAAGGCGAUGUGCUGGACAUUUACUGACACUCAGUGUGCGAAAGCUAGGGGAGCAAACGGGAUUAGAUACCCCGGUAGCCUGGCCC